AGAAUUUUUUCCAUAUCGACGCCAGCAGAGCGGGAACCGGAAACCUGGAGAUUGUCAUCUCGUGUGCGGACGUGAAAAUCCCCAACUAUGUGCAGAACGAGGGCAACGCA